GGAGGCUGUGGCUCAGGUGGUAGAGCGGGUUGUCAACUAACCGUAGGGUUGAUGGUUCGAUUCCGGCCCACAAGACUCCA